rnacentral:rRNA from 1 species
UAAUACGUAGGUGGCAAACGUUAUCCGGAAUUACUGGGCGUAAAGGGUCUGUAGGCGGUCUGAAAGGUCUGGCGUGACAAUUCUCGGCUUAACUGAGAGAGUGCGUUGGAAACCGGUAGACUAGAAUCACGUCGAGGUCGGUGGAAUUCCCGGUGUAGUGGUGGAAUGCGUAGAGAUCGGGAGGAACCCCUAAAGCGAAGGCAGCCGGCUAGACGAUGAUUGACGCUGAGGGACGAUAGCGUGGGGAGCGAACAGGAUUAGAUACCCUGGUAGUCCACGCCGUAAACGAUGUGUGCUCGGUGUGUGUGGGUAAAACCAUGCGCGCCUCAGUUAACACGGUAAGCACACCGCCUGGGGAGUACGGCCGCAAGGCU